AAAAAAAGAAGUCUAAUGAAAUGCCGAGUUGUGCUAAGUGUUUUAUACUGCAUAGAGUCCUGCUAGUUUUUAUUUUCUAUUAAAUACAUAUACUGAUUAAGUUUGGAAUGGGUUUGAUAAAAUGGCAAAAACUUAUCAUCACAGAAUAAAAAGAUAAAUACGAUAGAGGCAAAGAGAAAGAUGGACCAUCAAACAGAUAGCUAGAAGAGUCUAUAACUAGCAAUGAUAUUCUUUCAUAUUUGUGUUUGGAAUUCAUAUAUUGCGGUAGCAAUGGAGGAAGGGCUAAUUUCCAUCCCCACGUGAAUCAUUUGCUUAUGUAGGAUAAUCCUAUGUGCACAAUUAAAACACUCCCCAUAAACACAAACAUGUAAAGAGUUUUAUGUUGCUUAAACUUUUAAAGAUGCAAAAAGCUCAUGCUUCUGACUUCAGUGAGCUACAUUCUUUCAUAAAUAUUUGUAAGAUACAGAAAAAUUGUUUAGUGAUUCUCAAUAUACAAAGGUAAGGUUUUAAAGUAAAAUAGAGAAAUAAACAAAUGAUUAGUCAGGUUCUGUUUGGAUUUUUUGAAGAAAAACUUCCAGAGAAUUGAGUGAGAGUGAAGAUUUCUUGGAACAAAUUGGGCAGGAAAUUCAUACUUUGGAGAUAGACCAGAACAAAAAAAUCCAGGGACUGUCAAAUAUUUUAACAGAGUGGAAUUGAACAUGUGCAUAGGUGUUGUACUGCAUCCCUAUGCAAAUGAAUUUUGUUCCAAGUAAGGGAGACAAUAAGAUGAAAUAAUUCUUAGUCAAUGCAGACUAUCUAUUAAAAAAUUGCUGCUUUUAAUCUAGUGGAUAUUCAAUCUGAAAACAGCUAUAUCUUCCAAAUAAUUAUUAAUGGGAUGCUGUGAAUGAUGACUUCAUUAGAAGGUAAUCCCUAAACAGACGUCAAGUGAUUUGCAAUUUAUCUUCAAUACUAAUUUUUGUAAUGCAUAAAUAAAUGUAAACAAACAAGUGGAUCAUAUAUAAGCCAUAAAUUCAGACAUUUUGAGUCUGUCUUUUGUUGCCUUGCCUUACAAAAAUAAUUCAACUCUCAGUCAUUUUUAGUCUUAGUCACUCUAAAUACAAGUAAAUGAUAUAUACAUUUGUUUGCAAAAUGAUGUAAGCAGUAACUUUUUUUUUGUUUUGCCAGUGUAAGAAGUUUAGAAUAAAGCCUUUAUAGUGUUUAUAACUACUGUACACACACCUAGUCUGAAUGUUGCUAGACGACGGUUUUGAAUAGAGCUGUAAUAUUAUAUUCCUGUAGCUUGGACUCAAAACAACAGCCUCAAAUUCCAAUCACCACAGGAACGGGGGUUGUCUAUCCUGGUGCUAUUACCAUGGCAACUACCACACCAUCACCUCAGAUGACAUCGGAUUGCUCAAGCACCUCCGCCAGCCCUGAGCCCAGCAUACCCGUCAUUCAGAGCACUUAUGGGAUGAAGACAGACAGCGGAAGCCUUGCUGGAAACGAAAUGAUAAAUGGAGAGGAUGAAAUUGAAAUGUACGAGGACUACGAGGAUGAUCCCAAAUCAGACUAUAGUAGUGAAAACGAAGCCCAUGAGGCAGUCAGUGCCAACUGAGGAGUGUUCACAGAAUUAAAGUACUCAGACUCUUUUUUUUUUUUUUCGGAUUUUUUUUGAACAAAAAGUUCUUAAAGAGCCUGCAUGCAUGUGUGGCUCCUACAGUUACAUCAGCAGAAUGGUCUUAAAUGUUUCUUAACGUGUGAGACAGAUUGUUUCCCUAAUUUUUCAUGAACUUGGGUUUUUUUGUUGUUUUGUUUUUUAAAUUUAGAUGAAGACAUAUAUUAAAUAUCAGACAUCAGGACUUGAAAACUUAUAUGAAUCAAUAGCUGUCUUACAAGUCUUACCUUUUGUCUUUUUCCUUUUGGAUGCUGAUAAAGGCUUAAGUUACUGUUUUAGAUGGGGGUUAUACAUUCUCACUCAGGUAUGCUGUGCCAGCCUACAGGUUGUGAAUGUGUUUUUAUUCUGGAUUAUUUUAGAAAACAAAAACUGCAGAUUUCAUAUUGUGAAAUAGAACAAGUCCGCAAGUGUGCACAUCUGUGCAUCAUAGCUCAUCUUUAAAAAAUCGUCUCUGAAUUCCAUUUUUUUCCAUAUGUAUAGCUGAACUUCUGAUGUGCCAAACUUUUCUUAACUUUUGAAUCUUAACAUUUAAAAAAGAGUCUUAAAGGAGACACUGUAAAGUCUUAGACAAUCCUUUGGCAUCUUAAAAAAAAUAUAUAUAAAAAACUAAUUUUUUUUUCCAGAAAAUGGUGAAGUACUCAGGAAUCUGGAGACAGGAUAUUCUUAAGUAGUGAACCUGGUUGCCAUAGUGCAUGUGCCCAAUUGCUUUUGCCUCUUGAUGCCAUUAGUGUGAAGUUUUAAGUAAGCACAAAAGAGCGAUCACCAGCUAUGGAAGGGCCUGUCUUAGCAGUGUGAGGCCACCUUUGACUACAUUCUCUACCCUUUUGCUUUUAACCCUUGCAUUCAGUCUUAACACAUUUUCUCUUAAAUAAUUUAUUCAUUCCAGAAUGUCAAGGGUCCAAAUACUUAAUAUUUAUUUUUAAAAGUACUGUUGGUGGCAUUACACUUACAAUUCCUUAUUGAUAUUUUAAAGAGCUCCUUCUCCUCCUUCAAAUUACAUAGGUAUGUGAAAAUAAAAGUGCACCUGCUACUAAAACGAACAUGACAUUUAUGAAUGAGAAAUUCAAUUGUUUCCAUAACAGUGUGUGUUCAAGGAGUACUUGGAAACACUCUGAUAUAUAACACAAAAUAAAGUGAGUAUUUUUAUAUGUACAUACAGUACAAAUACUCUAAAAAUUUGUGUUUAUAGUUACAAACCUCUAUACUUAGCUGGACAGUAAAGGCAGAUAUGAAAUCAAAAUCCAUAUAGAAUCUACCGUGAUGAAUUCUUAGGGCUUGUAGAAUCCUGCAGUGAAUCAUGGCUCCACACAUCACAUUUCUGUUGUCACCUGAAGGAACUGUUUGCUAUCUUGAGUAUUUGUGCAGUGAUUUAUAUGUGAGACUCCUAGUGGAGGAGGGAAGGCCACAAAAAUAACUGGCUUGCAAAGCUGAGAAAACGAUGCAUCAGAAAUAUUUACUGAAUAUUAUUCAUACGGGAGUGCGAACUAGAUCUUCAUGGGUGUUUGUAAAGUUCUUUGGGAUCUUUGGUGGCAAGGUGUACCCAAAGUUUUUAUUUGUAUUAUUACUGGAAACAAUGCAAUUGCUACAGAAAAGUCUAGGAAAUACACAAGAAAGUUAUAUUCAAGGAGUUUGUUAAUGUUCAGAGAAGGAAAAGAAAAAAGAAAUUGCCAUUUUUUUCCCCAUUCGCAUUCCACUGCUGUUCAUAAAUAUAUCUCUAUAUAAAAUGCAGAUCCAAUGGGCCUGGUGAAUACCUGUGCUGAAGCUCCUCAACUCCCUCAGCUUUUAUUUUGAACUGGAUAUGUUCAGCACAUUGAUGAUAAAUUCGGACUCAGGCUGAGAGGCAUGAAUGAGCCUAGGACAGCUCUUCCCAAAGUCUGAGGGAAUCUUCCCACAGAGCUGAAUGGGCUUUGCAUAGACACCAGACAAUGAGAGGAUGGUAGUACUAAUGCUGGUCAUCGUCAUGCUGUUGCACUAUCGUGCAGAAAUUCAUGAGGUGCAAUGAUAAGGAGCUGCCAUUUUCCUCAGAGCCCCGGUAAUACCUCUUAGAGCAGACAGAGCCAUUGUUGCCACUGUAGGGAUCACGUUAAAUGUGCAAGAACAACCCCCAAAACAAAGAAGACCGUUCAAUUUACAGGACAAUUUAUAAAGUUAAUGGCAUAGAAACACAAUGGUUAGACUGCUCUGACCAUUUUGUAAUUUGGAACAAAAUGCUAUAUUUUUAAUAUUUAUUUAAAUGUGUUCUGAGUCCAUGUCUAAUAAGCAAUAAACCGGUCUAGCCAAGACUUUAAAGGCAAAUGCUGUGUCGUUUAGCUGGUGAGCGCCCUCUUCAAGCUGGCUAAGGUACUGAUAGAAAGUGUUUUUUGUUCUCACAAUUGCUUGGGAAUUGGAACUGUUUUUAAUACAUUCAGCUCAGAUUGGGGGGAGGGUACCAUUAUUUCCUAAAAGAAAUGACUAUUUAUUAAUGUCUUACAUAAUUCUUAUGUUAGAAGUAUCUCUCCCUCCUCCCAUGUCACUUUUUCUCUCUUGCUCUUUUUUUUCUGGUUUUGUUGCAUUGGUAGAAUGCUGUAUUGCUAGUAUUGUAUUUUAUGUAAUUAUUUUUUUUUUUGCACAAAGGCAAACAUUUAGAUUAGUUGGUUAAUUUUUUUAAAUUUUAUGACCAUGCCAAAAUAAUAUUCUGCAGGCUUGUGGAGAACAAAGGACUGUUCUUUAGGACUGAAACUUGAUUUUGCUUGUAGUACAAAAAAACACACACUCACAGAUGUUGUUUCGUAAGUGUUAUAAGCACUGGAUAUAAAUGGUAUUUUUUAUCACUUCUGACUAAUGUGAAACUGUUGUACGAAAACUACAUGAACAAAAGUCAUCUGUUUCGACUCGUGUGGGCCUGCCUCACAGUUGCCGGAUUUGAGUCAUUUUUAUGUCUUGUUAUUUCAUUUAUUUAUGCAAAAUACAUGUAUGUAUGAACACUUUGUUUUAGCUCCAGCCCUGCCUCAGUGCUGAUGCUCUCUAUGUUAAAGCCACAUUCUUGAAAAUGACUGGCUGUUCAGGAAUUGCCAGCUAGUAAAAAUUGCAUUUAUUGGCUGGUAAAGUGGGAGGAACAUAUUUGAAUUUGAAUUGUGCAUGUGAGCAUUUUAUUCUAUUUAUUAGCCGACAUUGGCUCUAAAAUGUCAGUAGAAGGAAGGACAAUCAUAAGGAUAAAAAACAACUUUUUUACUUUAUUAAUCGGAGCUCAAAACAAAGUUUUUGAUGAAUUUACCAUCUCAUUUUAGAUUUUUUUUUUUUAAAUUGUGUAAAUAUAACAUAGGAAAUAGAAUUUUAUUUUUUGUUCAUGGAUACUUAGUGAAGUAUAAGUUAUGUAUUUACUUUUGUUCUAUAUCAGUGUAUGUUGGUCCAUAUUAAAUGCUGACAAGUCACUGUACCUCAUGUAGAUGCUGAAUUUACACCCGCAGUGUGAGCGCAGUAUUGUGGACCUGUAGCUGGGACAGCAAGAUGCCUCACUUGUGCUCUCACUGAUUUUUGGUAGCAUAUCCCACAAACACAGAAUACUUUUUUCUUGUUUUAGAAAGUUGAUACAUGAAACACACAAAAUUGCAGAUACAGCUGAUAGGAAACACAAUUAUUUUUUUUUCUGAAUCCAAGUAAAACUGAUUAAAUGUUUUAGUUCUUAACAAGAAUGGCAUUUAGAAGUCAAAAGCAUAUCCCUGGAGAGAUUGUCAUGAAUAUAAGAUGGCUCUUGCAAUGCAAUCAAGACUUAGUAAUAUCAAAUCUUUAUUUUCUACAUUAAGUAAAUCACACUAUUGUUACAUUAGGCUGCAAUGUCAGGGGAAAAAGUUCACACAAAACACAAACAGGACUUUCAGAAUUGCUCUUUAAAUGUUGUGUUUGAGAUCUUCUUAAUAACUCUGACUGAAAAAAAUAACAACUCCAUUCAGAUAAUACACAAAUACAGUAAUACUUCUCCACGAAUUAGCAGCUUAUUUAAUUAGAACAGAUACAAUAUAUUUUCUUUUUGGAAAAAUUUAAAUAUUUGUUUUCAAGAGAAGAACACUCCUGAAACUGUCUGAUAUGAGCUAGUAUAGUUCACUUCCAAUUCCAUGGAACAGGGUUCAGGUUUACAUGGAGGCAUGACUGAUGAAAUAGCCUAGUUCUGGUUGAUACGUGUGUUCGGAUGUCACCAUUUAGUUAAUGAAACUGCCUGCUGGGAAUACACGGGAUCACAAUGUGCUCCUAAAUCAGCGUACUCAGGUGCAGCACAAGGCAGGGGGAGGGCAAAGGACGCUACUGCUCGGGGUGGGGAAUGCAAAACAAACAGCGGCAUUGCAACGUAUGCAGCAGUCAGCUGAGGACAGCUACUGCUUUGAGCAUAAACACAACCUCCGCCCAAUGCAACCUGAACCGCGGUCCUCUCACUGGGUUGGCUUUCUGGUUUCAUUUUUUGGUCAUACCAAAGGCGUGGCAUUUCAAAAAUCAUCUCCUAGCAAAACAUACAACAAGAUUAACACCCCCACCCUCCCUCAGCAAAACACUUACCUACUUGCUUAAUUUUAAGCAUGUUAGUACUUCUGUUGUGGUCACGAGGACCAGUGGAGCGUUGGCGUUAAGUAGGGCAAUCUUUGCUGAACAGGGCCACAGUGUGAACAACUGCACUGGAGAUGCAGCCAGCAGAAUGUAUGAUAGAGUUCUUCAUGUUUUUAUGAGACGUUGAUGAAUGGGCUUGGACCCUAGGUGUUUUGCAUGCUUUUUUAAGAUUCAAGUUGGCACUUAAGCAUGUUCUUUUAAAAGAAUAAUACUAUAUGACCUCAUCUGAUCUUUUACACUUACUCUUUUGCUUUAAAAAACAACUUCCCCCAAACCUUUUUUUAUAUGACCCAUUAAUAUCUGUGAUUUUUCUCAGAUCAAACUACAUUUUUGAUAUGCUGUAAUGUCCUACUAAGAAGGAAAAAGAAAAUAAGAUAUAGGUAUAUGCAAAUAUAUUUCAUUUUAAUCCAUUGCCCUUUUUUUUAAAUACCAGAUUUGCUGGAAAUGGUGACAAAGAAGUAUUCUGAGAUUUCACACGCUGGGUAAAAAGGGGUGGGGUAGGGUGAACUGGGCUAAAGGAAAAUUUAUCAAAUUGAUAUUUAUGGCAAUAUGAAAGCUAUAAAGCAACUUAGUGACAUGGCUUGCUUUGUAAUUUCCGCUUUCUAAAAACCACAAGUGAGGUCCUUGGUGCUCUUGGAUUAUGGGGAAUGUGCAAAUAUUUAACUGUUUGUAUGCUGCACAUUGCAGACCUGCUAGUGUGCAUUCUCCGUUUGUCUUCCUUUGUCAUUUGUGUUUUGCUUUCUAGAAAGCAAUGUUGGUUUUUUUUGUACCCUUCUUCAGCUUGUAGCAAAAUAGAAUGCUUAGCAUUUAUGUUCAUUCAUUAUUGUAUUUCCCAUGUACAAAUUUUUUUAUUACAUUAAGACAAGCUUAUAAGCUGUUACUACAUAACUUAUCUUACUGUAACUCUUAUUUCCUGACAUUGUAAUUUGUUUGUGAUGUAUAUUGUGAGAUUGUACUCUAUGUUAAUUUAAUCAGCACAAUUCACUGACAUGCUGGACUGACAUGCUAGCUGCUGUUUCAAAUUGUAAAGUUUGUGUAGACCUGUUGGGACAACUGAAACUCUCUUGUCUAGGUACUAUGCUUUGAUUCCUAUAGCAACACUGUGGGUGCAGCUCUUAAUGGUGGGGGCUGCUUGUUGGACACCCACUGGCUAAUUUAACAGGCAGGUUUUCUUUGUAGAAAUUCUAUAUACAAUGCAGGUACCUACCUGGGCCCAUGGCCGGUAAUUAUUUGGGCGUGUAGAGGAAAAACUAGUGUCUAUUGCUGCUUUGAAUAUGUUUUAAAGUCUGAAAAUGUAAAUAGUUUAU